GAUUUCUUAACUUUUAAGUAUGUUGUUUUGAAAGCAGCCUAAAGAAGUUAAAUACUUCUAGAAAUCC
rnacentral:tRNA from 1 species